UUUGAUAGAUUUUUUGGUUAUAUAAAGCUUUUCCCAGUAAAUUAAAUGUGUUUUUCCAUUGGGUAUCUAUUUUUGUUUAGAAACAUAAAAUGCAUAGGGCAACACUAUCAGAGCAGAGGAUUGCAGAAAAGGGGUGGACAGUAAAGGUUGAUGGUAGCUGUUUCGCCUUAAACUAAAGAUAGCUAGUAUACUGUUACGGUUACCAUAUACAAAAUCUAAAAUUUGCUACCGGUAACAAAAAUGACAUUACAUACAGCAUCAAUACAUGAAUAAAGAUAUACUCUGAUAUGCAAUGGUAUAUGUGAAAACAACUAGGAUAUGUCAUCUAAAUUUCUUAUGAAACAGUUUAACUGAAAUUUAAUUCUGUAUUCUAACCAUUAUUUAACAUAGCACCAUGGGAAAUGAAAUAGCACUAUUUCCUUUUAGUUUGAGCACCACUUUUAUAAUACAUUUUAGUAGAAAAAUCUAUCUAGAAGUACCAUAGCCAUCACUGGUUGUGUCUAUUUGUCUGUUUGCAAGCUCCUGCUUGUAUUUGCAAUCUUUCUAAACCUUAAAUUGGAUUUCAUGUAUAUGCAUAUGACUUGCCAUGUUAUGAUGUCUUGAUAUGAGAAUGAUUCUAAUGAUAUCUUUUCUUUAAAAUGUGGUCUGAUACCCUAUGUUAUCUUUUAGUUCCAAUUGUCAAAUACAAUCAAACACAGCAAAGAAGAUAUUCUAAAAUAUUCCCUUGUAAAAUAUACAAUUAUCAUACAGAAAUGCACAUUGUACCUUACUGUUUCAUGUUGUGUAAUAACCGGUAUAUGACUAUAGACACAAGACUUUCCUAAAAGCCUGAUUCCCAAGUAGUUUAGUCUGAUAAAAACAUAAUACUAACCUUAUGAAAUGUACAAAAAAAAAGAAGUACAAAAUCGGAAUUAUAAUGCCUGUCAUAUAUCUUAUUUCAAUAAAAGAUAUUGAUAAAAUGAUCUUCUCCUAGAACAAAACAUGUCUUUUUG
rnacentral:lncRNA from 1 species